AAAUUGAAGAGUUUGAUCAUGGCUCAGAUUGAACGCUGGCGGCAGGCCUAACACAUGCAAGUCGAACGGUAACAGGAAGCAGCUUGCUGCUUUGCUGACGAGUGGCGGACGGGUGAGUAAUGUCUGGGAAACUGCCUGAUGGAGGGGGAUAACUACUGGAAACGGUGGCUAAUACCGCAUAACGUCGCAAGACCAAAGAGGGGGACCUUCGGGCCUCUUGCCAUCAGAUGUGCCCAGAUGGGAUUAGCUUGUUGGUGAGGUAACGGCUCACCAAGGCGACGAUCCCUAGCUGGUCUGAGAGGAUGACCAGCCACACUGGAACUGAGACACGGUCCAGACUCCUACGGGAGGCAGCAGUGGGGAAUAUUGCACAAUGGGCGCAAGCCUGAUGCAGCCAUGCCGCGUGUAUGAAGAAGGCCUUCGGGUUGUAAAGUACUUUCAGCGGGGAGGAAGGUGUUGUGGUUAAUAACCACAGCAAUUGACGUUACCCGCAGAAGAAGCACCGGCUAACUCCGUGCCAGCAGCCGCGGUAAUACGGAGGGUGCAAGCGUUAAUCGGAAUUACUGGGCGUAAAGCGCACGCAGGCGGUCUGUCAAGUCGGAUGUGAAAUCCCCGGGCUCAACCUGGGAACUGCAUUCGAAACUGGCAGGCUUGAGUCUUGUAGAGGGGGGUAGAAUUCCAGGUGUAGCGGUGAAAUGCGUAGAGAUCUGGAGGAAUACCGGUGGCGAAGGCGGCCCCCUGGACAAAGACUGACGCUCAGGUGCGAAAGCGUGGGGAGCAAACAGGAUUAGAUACCCUGGUAGUCCACGCCGUAAACGAUGUCUACUUGGAGGUUGUGCCCUUGAGGCGUGGCUUCCGGAGCUAACGCGUUAAGUAGACCGCCUGGGGAGUACGGCCGCAAGGUUAAAACUCAAAUGAAUUGACGGGGGCCCGCACAAGCGGUGGAGCAUGUGGUUUAAUUCGAUGCAACGCGAAGAACCUUACCUGGUCUUGACAUCCACAGAACUUUCCAGAGAUGGAUUGGUGCCUUCGGGAACUGUGAGACAGGUGCUGCAUGGCUGUCGUCAGCUCGUGUUGUGAAAUGUUGGGUUAAGUCCCGCAACGAGCGCAACCCUUAUCCUUUGUUGCCAGCGAUUAGGUCGGGAACUCAAAGGAGACUGCCAGUGAUAAACUGGAGGAAGGUGGGGAUGACGUCAAGUCAUCAUGGCCCUUACGACCAGGGCUACACACGUGCUACAAUGGCGCAUACAAAGAGAAGCGACCUCGCGAGAGCAAGCGGACCUCAUAAAGUGCGUCGUAGUCCGGAUUGGAGUCUGCAACUCGACUCCAUGAAGUCGGAAUCGCUAGUAAUCGUGGAUCAGAAUGCCACGGUGAAUACGUUCCCGGGCCUUGUACACACCGCCCGUCACACCAUGGGAGUGGGUUGCAAAAGAAGUAGGUAGCUUAACCUUCGGGAGGGCGCUUACCACUUUGUGAUUCAUGACUGGGGUGAAGUCGUAACAAGGUAACCGUAGGGGAACCUGCGGUUGGAUCACCUCCUUACCUUAAAGAA
rnacentral:rRNA from 5 species